GGGUACAGCAAGAUAUAGUGAGGUACAGCAGGCUUUAGAGUGGGGGCAGUGAGGUAGAGCAAGGUUAGAAUGAAGGAUGGUGAGGUAGAGUGGGGGACAGUGAGGUAGAGCAAGGUUAGAAUGAAGGAUGGUGAGGUAGAGUGGGGGACAGUGAGGUAGAGCAAGGUUAGAAUGAAGGAUGGUGAGGUAGAGUGGGGGACAGUGAGGUAGAGCAAGGUUAGAAUGAAGGAUGGUGAGGUAGAGUGGGGGACAGUGAGGUAGAGCAAGGUUAGAAUGAAGGAUGGUGAGGUAGAGUGGGGGACAGUGAGGUAGAGCAAGGUUAGAAUGAAGGAUGGU